AUACUUACCUGGCAGGGGAGACACCAUGAUCAGGCAGGUGGUUUUCCCAGGGUGAGGCUCAUCCCCUGCACUCCGGGCAUGCUGACCCCUGCGAUUACCCCAAAUGCAGGAGACCCGACUGCAUAAUUUGCGGUAGUGGGGGACUGCGUUUGCGCUCUCCCCUG
rnacentral:snRNA from 1 species